rnacentral:tRNA from 1 species
AGAUCGCUAGCUCAAUUGGUUAGUAGCAAUCGCCUUUUAAGCGAUAGGUUCUGGGUUCGAUCCCCAGGCGGUCUACCA